rnacentral:rRNA from 1 species
AGCUCCAAUAGCGUAUAUUAAAGUUGUUGCGGUUAAAAAGCUCGUAGUUGGAUUUCUGUUGAGGAUGGGCGGUCCGCACUACGUGCGUGUAUCUGUUACAGCCUCGGCAUCCUCAUGAAGAACAGUGCUGCUCUUAAUUGCGUGGUCUGGAAUUCAUGACUUUUACUUUGAGGAAAUUAGAGUGUUCACUGCAAGCAAUCGCUUUGAAUACAUUAGCAUGGAAUAAUAAUAUAGGACCUUGGUACUAUUUUGUUGGUUUCUAGAACUAAGGUAAUGAUUAAUAGGGAUAAUUGGGGGCAUUCGUAUUAACGCGUCAGAGGUGGAAUUCUUGGAUUGCGUUACGACGAACUACUGCGAAAGCAUUUGCCAAGGAUGUUUUCA